UGGUAAAAGAUGGCUAUGCGUCUUAUUAGCUAGAUGGUAAGGUAACGGCUUACCAUGGCAACGAUAAGUAGGGGCCCUGAGAGGGGGAUCCCCCACACUGGUACUGAGACACGGACCAGACUCCUACGGGAGGCAGCAGUGAGGAAUAUUGGGCAAUGGAGGCAACUCUGACCCAGCCAUGCCGCGUGCAGGAAGACUGCCCUAUGGGUUGUAAACUGCUUUUAUACAGGAAGAAACACACCUACGUGUAGGUGCUUGACGGUACUGUAAGCCGAAGUC
rnacentral:rRNA from 1 species